CCCGCCAAGGCCGGCCAGGACCUGCUGACGCUAGGGCAGGGGUCAAAGGUCAGGAAUGGGUCCAGCAGUGCGUCUGGAAAGGACCCAGCGUGCCCACGCUCCCGGCAAGCCAGAGCUUAAACAUCCCCAAAGGCGCCCGGGCCGAUGACGGUAGCUCCCAAGCGCCCUCCAGAUGCACUCUCGCAGGAACAACCCCAGGGACUUCCCUGACUGACCCCGCGUUGCUCUGCUUUGAAUCCCCGCUCUGUCGAUCUGUCGUAAUUUAACCAGAGGUCACCCUGAAGAGGGUGUCAGAAUCCCUGGAACUGGAGUUACAAUAGUUAUAAGCUUCCACGUGAGUGCUGGGAAUCAAACCUCAGAUAACCCAGAAACCUAUCCAGUUCUAUACAUCCAGAGCUGGAUUCAUCACCUUCUCUGUUUGUCUCUGUCUGUAUUGGUGCAUAGAACUGUUUGAGAAAGAUCAGAGGAUGUGCCCUUGUUGGAGGAGAUGUGUUGCUGGGAGAAGGUUUUGAGACUUCAAAAGCCCACUCCAUUCCCAGUUAUCACCUCUCUGCCUCAUGUUCAUGGAUAAAGAUGAAAGUUCUCAGUUACUGCUCUAGCACCAUACCUGCCUGAGGCAGUGCUCCCUGGCAUGAUGUUCAUGGACUCACCCUUUAAAACUGUAAGCCCUUAAUAAAGUCUUUCUUCUA